rnacentral:rRNA from 1 species
UGGGGAAUUUUGGACAAUGGGCGCAAGCCUGAUCCAGCCAUGCCGCGUGUCUGAAGAAGGCCUUCGGGUUGUAAAGGACUUUUGUCAGGGAAGAAAAGGAUAGGGUUAAUACCCCUGUCUGAUGACGGUACCUGAAGAAUAAGCACCGGCUAACUACGUGCCAGCAGCCGCGGUAAUACGUAGGGUGCGAGCGUUAAUCGGAAUUACUGGGCGUAAAGCGGGCGCAGACGGUUACUUAAGCAGGAUGUGAAAUCCCCGGGCUCAACCUGGGAACUGCGUUCUGAACUGGGUGACUAGAGUGUGUCAGAGGGAGGUAGAAUUCCACGUGUAGCAGUGAAAUGCGUAGAGAUGUGGAGGAAUACCGAUGGCGAAGGCAGCCUCCUGGGAUAACACUGACGUUCAUGCCCGAAAGCGUGGGUAGCAAACAGGAUUAGAUACCCUGGUAGUCCACGCCCUAAACGAUGUCGAUUAGCUGUUGGGCAGCUUGACUGCUUAGUAGCGAAGCUAACGCGUGAAAUUGACCGCCUGGGGAGUACGGUCGCAAGAUUA